AGUGAACGCUGGCGGUAGGCCUAACACAUGCAAGUCGAACGGCAGCACAGUAAGAGCUUGCUCUUACGGGUGGCGAGUGGCGGACGGGUGAGGAAUACAUCGGAAUCUACUUUUUCGUGGGGGAUAACGUAGGGAAACUUACGCUAAUACCGCAUACGACCUACGGGUGAAAGCAGGGGAUCUUCGGACCUUGCGCGAUUGAAUGAGCCGAUGUCGGAUUAGCUAGUUGGCGGGGUAAAGGCCCACCAAGGCGACGAUCCGUAGCUGGUCCGAGGGGAUGAUCAGCCACACUGGAAGUGAGGCACAGUCCAGACACCUGCGGGAGGAAGCAGUGGAGAAUAUUGGACAAUGGGCGCAAGCCUGAUCCAGCCAUACCGCGUGGAUGAAGAAGGACUUCGGGUUGUAAAGCCCUUUUGUUGGGAAAGAAAGGCAGCAGGUUAAUACCCCGCUGUUCUGACGGUACCCAGAGAAUAAGCACCGGCUAACUUCGUG
rnacentral:rRNA from 1 species